rnacentral:rRNA from 1 species
CACGUAGGGUGCGAGCGUUAUCCGGAAUUAUUGGGCGUAAAGAGCUCGUAGGCGGUUUGUCGCGUCUGCCGUGAAAGUCCGGGCUCAACUCCGGAUCUGCGGUGGGUACGGGCAGACUAGAGUGAUGUAGGGGAGACUGGAAUUCCUGGUGUAGCGGUGAAAUGCGCAGAUAUCAGGAGGAACACCGAUGGCGAAGGCAGGUCUCUGGGCAUUAACUGACGCUGAGGAGCGAAAGCAUGGGGAGCGAACAGG